AACCAACUUCUGGUUUAUGAUUUAUUUCUUUUUUAUUCUCUUCUGUGGUUUAUUUCAAAUUUUCGAAAGUCAAAAUGAGAUCAUUUGAUCAUUGAGAUUUGAGAUCUUGAACUUGAAUUUAAAUGAGAUAACCUAGUGCAGCUCUAUUCUGUAAUGUCUGUAAUGCAGAUAUGAAAUGAGAUUUCGUCGUUUUGCUGGUCUUAAUGGUAUUGAACUAGCGUUAAUGACAUUCAUAGGAGUUGUAUCUGGAAUAUACAUUUGGAGACCAGUCUUUACAACCGAAAACGUUGAUUUAAGAACUGAAGUAAAAACAGAAAACAGUGAUCAGAAUCAAGAGUAAAAGAUGAGUUUCGGGUCUAGUUACAAAGCAUGGGCCAGUAAACAAAAAGGCAACCCACAAAUGCUUGUCGUAACAUUUGUAGGGUUUACCCUAGGCGUCUACCUAUUACACAAAACCGUUUAUAAACCAUAUAAAAGGCAAAAAAUCCUUGAAGAAGCCGAAGCUUACGCACAACAUAUUUAUGAUCUAGAAACCAAGAAAAUGUAGUAUUUGAAUAAAAGUUAGUAGUAGUU